GUCAGGAGAGAGUGCCAGCCCUAAGGGCCACCGCACCGCCGAAGGCGCAGGCAGCAGCCGAACGCUCAGGCAAAAGGACUGAC
rnacentral:ncRNA from 2 species